rnacentral:rRNA from 1 species
CACGUAGGCACCAAGCGUUGUCCGGAUUUAUUGGGCGUAAAGAGCUCGUAGGCGGUUCGGUAAGUCGGGUGUGAAAACUCUGGGCUCAACCCAGAGACGCCACCCGAUACUGCUGUGACUAGAGUGCGGUAGGGGAGCGGGGAAUUCCUGGUGUAGGCGGUGGAAAUGCGCAGAUAUCAGGAGGAACACCAGUGGCGAAGGCGACUUCCUGGCCUGUUCUUGACGCUGAGGCGCGAAAGCUAGGGUAGCAAACGGG